rnacentral:rRNA from 1 species
GACGAACGCUGGCGGCGUGCUUAACACAUGCAAGUCGAACGGCAAGGCCCUGCUUUUGUGGUGUGCUCGAGUGGCGAACGGGUGAGUAACACGUGAGUAACCUGCCCUUGACUUUGGGAUAACUUCAGGAAACUGGGGCUAAUCCCGUAUAGGAGCUCCUGCUGCAUGGUGGGGGUUGGAUCGUUUCGGCGGUUGGGGAUGGACUCGCGGCUUAUCAGCUUGUUGGUGGGGUAGUGGCUUACCAAGGCUUUGAAGGGUAGCCGGCAUGAGAGGGUGACCGGCCACAAGGGGACUGAGAGACGGCCCAGACGGCUACGGGAGGCAGCAGUGGGGAAUAUGGCACAAUGGGCGGAAGCCGGAGGAAGAAACGCCGCGUGCGGGAUGACGGCCUUCGGGGUGUAAACAGCUGUCGCCUGUGACGAAGCGUGAGUGACGGUAAUGGGUAAAGAAGCACCGGCUAACUACGUG